ACGGGAGGCAGCAGUGGGGGAUAUUGCGCAAUGGGGGAAACCCUGACGCAGCAACGCCGCGUGAAGGAAGAAGGUCUUCGGGUUGUAGACCUUUGUCUUUUGGGACGAUAGUGACGGUACCAAAGGAGGAAGCCACGGCUAACUACGUGCCAGCAGCCGCGGUAAUACGUAGGUGGCGAGCGUUGUCCGGAAUUACUGGGUGUAAAGGGCGUGUAGGCGGGUAAUCAAGUCAGAUGUGAAAUACCGGGGCUCAACUCCGGGACUGCAUUUGAAACUGAAUAUCUUGAGUGCAGGAGAGGAAAGCGGAAUUCCUAGUGUAGCGGUGAAAUGCGUAGAUAUUAGGAGGAACACCGGUGGCGAAGGCGGCUUUCUGGACUGUAACUGGCGCUGAGGCGCGAAAGCGUGGGGAGCAAACAGGAUUAGAUACCCUGGUA
rnacentral:rRNA from 1 species